rnacentral:rRNA from 1 species
AAACCAACAGGGAUUGCCUCAGUAACGGCGAGUGAAGCGGCAAAAGCUCAAAUUUGAAAUCUAGUACCUUCGGUGCUCGAGUUGUAAUUUGAAGAUGGUAACUUUGGAGUUGGCCCUUGUCUAUGUUCCUUGGAACAGGACGUCACAGAGGGUGAGAAUCCCGUCUGACGAGGUGAUCCAACUCUAUGUAAAGUGCUAUCGAAGAGUCGAGUUGUUUGGGAAUGCAGCUCUAAGUGGGUGGUAAAUUCCAUCUAAAGCUAAAUAUUGGCGAGAGACCGAUAGCGAACAAGUACAGUGAUGGAAAGAUGAAAAGAACUUUGAAAAGAGAGUGAAAAAGUACGUGAAAUUGUUGAAAGGGAAGGGUAUUAGAUCAGACUUGGCGUUUUAUGAUUAUCUUCCCUUCUUGGGUUGUGCACUCGUAUUGCGCUGGGCCAGCAUCGAUUCGGAUGGCAGGAUAAUGGCAAUUGAAUGUGGCAUCCACUUCGGUGUAUGUGUUAUAGCUUUUGUUGAUGCUGCCUAUCUGGAUCGAGGACUGCGUCUUUUGACUAGGAUGUUGGCGUAAUGAUCUAAUAUC